AGUGCUUGUAAAGACUACUUUUAUGAUACUUCCAUUGUAAAUCAGUGACUAGGAUAUUAUUCAGAAUUUCUCUGUUUGUGUUUCACAAUUGCAGCAAAGUCAUAUGGGUUCAGACCAACAUGAGGAUAAGUAAAUGACCACAGAAUGUUCAGAUUUGGGUGAGUGGGCUCAGCCAGGAUAGCAAGUAGCUGUUAUUUGGGUGGAGUCCUGUGCUUUCUCCAUUAACCAUUAAAGGAAGCAUCUCUGAACUGCAAUGCGGUGAGAAGGACAGCUGUGAUUUGCCAUUUCUGGUGAAUAAACAAACAGACUGA
rnacentral:lncRNA from 1 species